ACAACACUGCGUGGUAUGUUUCUUGAGUUCACUAUUCUAUCAGCUGUAUUUGUUUACAAAUACAACACUGCGUGGUAUGUUUCUUGAGUUCGCUAGUCUAUCAGCUGUAUUUGUUUACUUUCUUAUUAUUGGCGUUUAAGUGUUUGAAAUUAAUAAAUUUAAUAAAUUUCGUUAUUAAUAUGGAAGGAAACUACGAUAUUCAGUGUAAACCAUUUCAACCCGGUACAUACAUAAGUGGAAUGUGGCAGAAGAAGAAGCGCUUGUAGAGUUCCUAAUGGAAAAUAGAAGUUUCGAGAAACCAACGGCUCAAAGAUUUUAAUUGUUCUGCAGUAGUGGAAGACAGUUUGGUGACGCUGUUAGAAAGCGAUUCUACAAGUCCAUCGGGAGCAGAAUGUGUGGUUGAAGCGGGCAGUUCAGUUGGAGCUGAAGAAUUAAAAAGUCCUGCGUUGAACGACAAUGUGUGCACUCGAAGGCAGAAAGGAAUAUAUUCCAAAACUGCCUUGUCAGAUAUUUUGCAGGUUCAUGGCGAGAUCGCAGAAAUAAGGAAGCAAAAGCUUAAGAUGGAUGUUGCAGCAAGGGAAAGGGAAAUGCCAAUCAAAGAAUCUAUAUCGAAACUGAUUAACAUGUUGUGAAGAAUACAACACACCAUAAUCCAGUCAUUGCAUUCCUUCUUAUUUGACGUUGAAAGCAUUCUAAAUUUAAGCUCCUUUAAACUACCGAAUUUCUCUUUCAAAAGACAAAAACAAUUCUCAAUUCGUACACGGUAUUUGGAAAAUCAAAAAACGCUGCGGAGUUAUUCUAACAUCAAAUCCCCCCUCUACGUAUAUGUUCGAAAAAACUACAAUAGAGUUCUAGAAACCACUGAAAUUUUGUGCGGUUGUGAAAUGUACUACAAUGGAUUGCAUUGAACACACCGAAAGCUUUAAGCUCUUCUGCCACAAUCAUAUGUUUUCUGACAUUUUGACAUACAGAAAAUAAAUUAAAUUAAAAAUAACUUCACAUCAAAAAACAAAAUUUCAAAAAAUGAUGUGAAAAAUAUGUAAUAUGUAUGUAAUAAUAUGUAAUAUGUAAUAAUUAUACUGGACAAUAAUAUUUUAAGAUUGCUUAAAGUUAUAACUAAGUCAGGAUCAAUUUUCCUGCCUGUUAUUCAUAAUUAUAUUUUACAUGAAUCUAUUUGUAUCAGCUGAUGGAUGUAAACAUAGUACAAUACUACAUGUGUGUCACUAUGCUGGUAUAUGGUUUCUUGAGCUUUUAUUGUAGUACACAUCGUAGUACAUAUGUCUGUCUUAGGCAUAAAGGAACUUUGUAUGAAAUUUUACUUCUAUUGCCAAAUUUGUAUGAAAUUUGAUUUCAAAACGCUAUUGCCAAUUCAAAAGUUCGAGUUAUGGAGAUCUUCGACUUAUAGAAGUUCGAGUU